rnacentral:rRNA from 1 species
UACAGAGGGUGCAAGCGUUAAUCGGAAUUACUGGGCGUAAAGCGCGCGUAGGUGGUUUGUUAAGUUGGAUGUGAAAGCCCCGGGCUCAACCUGGGAACUGCAUUCAAAACUGACAAGCUAGAGUAUGGUAGAGGGUGGUGGAAUUUCCCGUGUAGCGGUGAAAUGCGUAGAUAUAGGAAGGAACACCAGUGGCGAAGGCGACCACCUGGACUGAUACUGACACUGAGGUGCGAAAGCGUGGGGAGCAAACAGG